rnacentral:snRNA from 1 species
AUAUGUGACGGCCAUCAGGAUGUGACAUCGAUCACCUCAUUGAUAGCAAGGUUCUAUUCAGUGGGGCUGGCUAGGUUAUGUCCCCUUCCUCUCCUACAUUCACGAGUGGCUCCUAUCCCAGAAGCUGUGAGACUGGUCAAAGCAGGUGGUCAUUUCAAUUGGAGAAGGCCUAUCCUUGGUCAAAGGCGUGUGAGUCUGUAUGCUCCCCUGUUGGAGCACUAAGAGAACUACCAUAUUUGAGCCAUAUUGAAAGCGAGAACUCCCAUAU